rfam:Ornithorhynchus anatinus chromosome 4, whole genome shotgun sequence.
CCCCUCUCAGGGUCGCUCCUGGAGAGUUUCCAGUCCUCUACCAGUCUCGGCUAUGGGAGGGAGAGUCAAGCAGAGGCCUGCCCAUUCCAUUCCUGGCUUGGCCAGUGGCUAACCAGUGGAAUGCAGUCUGCUACAAGU